rnacentral:rRNA from 1 species
GAUGAACGCUGGCGGCGUGCGUAAUACAUGCAAGUCGAGCGAACAGACGAGGAGCUUGCUCCUCUGACGUUAGCGGCGGACGGGUGAGUAACACGUGGAUAACCUACCUAUAAGACUGGGAUAACUUCGGGAAACCGGAGCUAAUACCGGAUAAUAUAUUGAACCGCAUGGUUCAAUAGUGAAAGACGGUUUUGCUGUCACUUAUAGAUGGAUCCGCGCCGCAUUAGCUAGUUGGUAAGGUAACGGCUUACCAAGGCAACGAUGCGUAGCCGACCUGAGAGGGUGAUCGGCCACACUGGAACUGAGACACGGUCCAGACUCCUACGGGAGGCAGCAGUAGGGAAUCUUCCGCAAUGGGCGAAAGCUUGACGGAGCAACGCCGCGUGAGUGAUGAAGGUCUUCGGAUCGUAAAACUCUGUUAUUAGGGAAGAACAAAUGUGUAAGUAACUAUGCACGUCUUGACGGUACCUAAUCAGAAAGCCACGGCUAACUACGUG